rnacentral:rRNA from 1 species
GACUCUCGGCAAUGGAUAUCUUGGCUCUUGCAUCGAUGAAGAGCGCAGCGAAAUGCGAUACGUGGUGUGAAUUGCAGAAUCCCGUGAACCAUCGAGUUUUUGAACGCAAGUUGCGCCCGAGGCCAAUUGGUUGAGGGCACGUCCGCCUGGGCGUCAAGCA